UUUUCAAAGACAUUGCUUAUUGGUUAGUAUAAUAAGUAAUUUCUGCUCACUGCAUUGGGUAAAGGGCUGCAGUAUUUUGACUGUAUAAAGGUAGCAUAAUCAUUAGUUUUUUAAUUGGGGACUGGUAUGAAGGGGUAACUGAGAGGGUGUUUAUUUUUAUAGGAUAAUUGAAUUUUAUAACUCUGUGAAAAAUCAGGGAUUUAACUAAGUGACAAGAAGACCCUAUUAAGUUUAAUUAUAAUUCAUGGCAUUUAUAAAGGAAUACACAAAUUAGUAAGGUUCGUGGGUGUUAGGUUAGCUGGGGCGGCGCAAUAGAAAACGUUUUUGUAGUUUAAUUUUGAUGAAGCGUGAUUAUGAUCUUAUAAAGGUAAAAUUAUGGGUAAUUACUUUAGGGAUAACAGCGUAAUCAUUUUUAAAAGUUCUUAUUGACAGAGUGGUUUGCGACCUCGAUGUUGGAUUAGAAUAACUGUUGGAGCAGUGGUCAAUGGGUUUGUCGU
rnacentral:rRNA from 1 species